GACAGAGGGUGCAAACGUUGUUCGGAUUUACUGGGCGUAAAGGGCGCGUAGGCGGCGCAACAAGUCACUUGUGAAAUCUCCGGGCUUAACCCGGAGCGGCCAAGUGAUACUGUCGUGCUAGAGUACGGAAGAGGCGAGUGGAAUUCCCGGUGUAGCGGUGAAAUGCGCAGAUAUCGGGAGGAACACCAAUUGCGAAGGCAGCUCGCUGGGACGUCACUGACGCUGAGACGCGAAAGCGUGGGGAGCAAACAGG
rnacentral:rRNA from 1 species